CAGAUUCUCUCCAGAGACAUGGGGAAUCCCUCCUAGUCUAAUUUAUACCUUGACUUAUUAUAUGUUUUAAAAUUAGAUUUAGGUACCGAUAAAAAUUCAAAUAGCAGAGUACAGAGGCCUGUGGGAUUUUUCUUCUCACGUUUCACAAAAAAUUUAACAGCUUACUGGUUUCAGAUCAAAACUCUAGAAGCCUCCAUCACCACAUUUCCUGUUUGUAACUGAACAAAGUACACACAAAAGAUUGUAAGAAACAGAAGAGAGAAAAAACUGAGGUACAGAUAAGACAAGGUUUACUGCCACACUGCUUCUAACAUAACAGAGCAACAUUACUUAGAAAAAAGUUUGUGGGAGCAUUUUUAAUCCAUACAUUUGCCUAUGGCUACAGAAGGAUUUUUCUGAGAAAAGAAGCAUGCCAGGCGCUAUAUUAUCUUCCCAGAAAUCAAUUCAAUCAUCAACUUUCAGAGAGAUGACAAUUUGCAAAGACCAGUGAAAAUCCCAUCACCUGUGGAAUGGAUUAUGAGAGUUGAAUCCACAUUGAUUAGCCGAAAGUCUGCUCCACAUUGACUAUCAUCUAUCAUUCCUCCUUUAUUCUUUUACGUACUUUUAACUUCCUUAAUAAGCAUCUUUUUGUAAUAAGAGAAGACAUGCUUAUUAUAUAAAGUGGGAGAACUGUGAAAUAUAUAUGAAAAAAAAUUUACAUAGUUUUCAUCACCUUAGAAAAAUAAGAUAUUAUGUUGUAUUUCCUUCCAACUUUUGCUUCUAUAUAUCUUCAUGGUUUGCUCUUCAUAACUGAAAUAAUAAUGUAAAUAAAAUCAUAUGUUCAGCUUUUUUCACUAACAUAACCAUCUCCAUCUUUAUGAUAACUUCUGCUUAGUUGUUUUACAUAAAUGCACAAAGUGACAUCUUUUGUGUUCUAGUUUACUUAGUUGUUUAUUGUUAGACAUUAAUGUUGUAUACAGUUUUUUUAUAUUUUAAAUGACAGAAAGAUGAACAGCUCUAUAGCUUUUUCUAUAUUAAGGGUUAUUUUCUUAGGAAAGAUUUCUAGACAUGGAAUUACUGAAUAAGAAGUUAUGAACAUUUUAAGUCUCCUUAUUGCCAAAUUGCUUUUCCAAGGCUGAUGCCAAUUCACUCUCAUCCUAGAGUGUUUCUCCUUAACAAGCUGGUCUCAUUUAAAAAAAUCUUUACUAAUUUGAUAAGCACAACAUGUUUAACCCAUUGUUUAAUAUGUUUUACUUUGAUUAUAAUGAGGAUGAAAAUUUUUGCAUGGGUUUUUAAACUUUAUAAUUCUGUCAUUUGUGAAUUGUGUAAUUACAUUUUUGCUUAUAAUUGUGCUAACAGUAUUUUUAAUAUCAAUAUGUAUAAGCCAUUUAUAAAGAUAAUAGAUAUUUUAAUUCCUGUGAAUUUGUUUCCCAGUGUUUUGUUCCAUGGAUUUUAAAACUGAUUGAUUGGAUUAAUCACACAGGGAACAUAAACUGAUGUAUGGUUUUCACAAUUCUCUUUAUCUUUUCCAGGUACAUAUAUUAGCAAAGAAAAAAAACAAUUGUUCCAGUUUUGCUAGUGCCCUGCAAGAAAUGGACUUAGCAAUACUAUGAACAAUUGCUAUGAGAUGACAGUCACGGGGAACUUGGCAAGGGUGGGAAGGCCGAAGGCAGUGAAUAUGAUGUUCAACUAUUUCUCAUUAAUUAAUUUUAAAUUUGGAAGGCAUGAUAAAAUUUCCUUCACAGUAUUUCAUAGUUUAUGUUUAGAUCCCUUCAGGUGCUAUACAGGAGCUCCUCCAUUGUCAGUUAAGACCUACGGUUCCACAGAAGAGAUAAAAUGUAUACAGUAUUUGCCAUUAAAGCCUCAUAGAUCUUAAAAGCCAAGAAACAAAACCAAAAACCAAAAAUCCUUAAUGUGAAAGGAGAGACUCAGAUUAUAGUAUUUUUUACAUUAGAUAGGUGAAGUAAAAAAGAAAAUAAGUGUGAACACAAUGGAAAAGUGAGAUUAUUCCUAGUUGAGUAAAACAAUGUAUGAAAAGAAAAACCCAAGUCUCUCCUUUUCUCCCACCUAUAUGCCUUGUAGUCACUGCAUCAAUAAAUGUGCCAGCAUCCUACUUUCUACUGUUUCUGCAUUCACAUAAAAUCAAUAUUAGCUAAAUCAAAGACAAAAACAACUCCUUUGGGCUACCAUUAAUUUAAACAAUGAUUCACAAUUUAGUUACACCUCACUGUUUUUCAAAAAAAGGAUUUUCAUUGUCUUUUCUCACUUUUCUCUUCCCGUGAGCCUCAAUCCCCUUUUGAGAACAAUGAAAGCCUGUCUUUUAGAGACUAGAUAGGACUGAUUUAUGAAUCAUCUUUUAAGCUCAGAUGUUCUUUAAAUUAAAAAUAGGUCAAAGACAGCGUUUCAUCAUUUAAUUUAGGUAACAUUUGACAGGCGAUUUCAAGAAAACUUGACCCAGGAAUGUUUGCCACUUAAAGGUCACAGCUGUAAGAAAUAAAUAUCCACAAAUUGCUAGUUAAUAAUACAUAAAUAAAUAUUGGACCCUUUUCCAGGCAUUUUUUUUUCAUUUAAUUUAUUCAGCAUUCCUGAAUUAAAAAGAAGAGAGAAAAAAUUAACAGGCCUUCUUAAAACAUUAAAGAAACAUAGUAGUUACAGUAUUUUGUUGGAUGAAAGUUUCCACACACCCAUGCCAUCUUCAGAGGCUCUUACCAAGGUGCUUCUCCAAUAGGAAACAAUAAGUACAUAUACAAAAUGGAGCAGCUACAUACAGAUAAAGAGAGGUUUGUCUACAGCAGGGAAUUUGGCAG